UCAGUCGACUCCUACGGGGAGGCAGCAGUGGGGGAAUAUUGCACAAUGGGCGCAAGCCUGAUGCAGCCAUGCCGCGUGUAUGAAGAAGGACCUUCGGGUUGUAAAGUACUUUCAGCAGUGAGGAAGGUGGAGUCGUUAAUAGCGGCCUCAUUUGACGUUAGCUGCAGAAGAAGCACCGGCUAACUCCGUGCCAGCAGCCGCGGUAAUACGGAGGGUGCGAGCGUUAAUCGGAAUUACUGGGCGUAAAGCGCAUGCAGGUGGUUUGUUAAGUCAGAUGUGAAAGCCCGGGGCUCAACCUCGGAAUUGCAUUUGAAACUAGGCAGACUAGAGUACUGUAGAGGGGGGUAGGAAUUUCAGGUGUAGCGGUGAAAUGCGUAGAGAUCUGAAGGAAUACCGGUGGCGAAGGCGGCCCCCUCGGACAGAUACUGACACUCAGAUGCGAAAGCGUGGGGAGCAAACAGGAUUAGAUACCCUGGUAG
rnacentral:rRNA from 1 species